ensembl:snRNA U6 U6 spliceosomal RNA
GUGCUUGAUUUGGCAGCACCCAUACUAAAAUUGGAACUAUACAGAGAAGAUUCACAUGGCCUCUGUGCAAGGAUGACAUGCAAAUUCAUGAAACAUUUAUUU